rnacentral:rRNA from 1 species
AAAGAAUCGAAUGGGGAAGAUUUAUCCGUCAGCGACACUGGCUUCACGGUGGCUCCGUGAAUCGCGGGACUUCGGUCACCGUGGUACGCGGUCAUCGCGUAACGUCCGGGUGGCGUCGGCGUGCACUUCUCCCCUAGUAGGACGUCGCGACCCGUUGGGUGCCGAUCUACGGUCCGGGUGGUUGUCUGUCGCGUCGCAUUCGCGUGCGGACGCGGCAAACCCUCGGUCGCCUGGUAUCGGCUGCCCGGCGGUGCUCCCAUGGUAUCGGGCCGCAAAACAUUUGAACUGCGUCGAGGCCCGCCGCAAGCGCGGUCAGUGUAUCUCGGAGGUACGGAACUAAGCGCCGUCCCGGUACCUGAUCAGCUGUUGGCAGGCGGUGUCCUCCGACAGGCCAUAUCUCGAAAGUGUGAUACCGGUCAGCGACGCUACUGCUUUGGGUAAUCUCAGGACCCGUCUUGAAACACGGACCAAGGAGUCUAACAUGUGCGCGAGUCAUUGGGACCGCAUGCCUAAAGGCGAAAUGAAAGUGAAGGUCGUCCUAACAGACGACCGAGGGAGGAUGGGCCGCGUUACGAUGCGGCUUCGCACUCCCGGGGCGUCUCGUUCUCAUCGCGAGAAGAGGCGCACCCAGAGCGUACACGUUGGGACCCCAAAAGUG